GACCUCGGCGCGGCCCGGCGCCGCCCGGUAGCGCCCCAGCGCCAGGAACUCGGCCAGCAGGACUCACCUGUGACAAAGUGCACUCCUUCCAGCGUGAUAUCCAUGCCAUUGAUCGAGCCGGACAGGGAACCAUCCAACUCUCUGAUUCCUGACCCAUCAAAUACUUCCCAGAGCUGCUGAUAUGCUGGUGAACCGGAUGGCGACAGAAAGUGCAUUGGGUUCCACCAAGCAGCCUGAGCCUGAGGCAAAGCUGAAAGGAAAGACGCCAACAGCCCUGCACCUACUUUCCCACCCAGGGACGGAAAGGAGGAGGGUGAGGCUCCCUGCAGGCCUGGUGGGAGGGGAAAGCUGUCCCUUCCUUGGGCUUGGGGGAUGAGCAGCGCUGAGAGCUCCGGGGGCCGAGCCUUAGCAGGUCCCUUCUCCCUGUGGCUGGCCCUCUGUCGUCCUCAUCCCUCCCCUCGUCCCAACCUUCUCGUCUGCCUCAGAGCAAAGGGACAGUCCUCAGGGCCAGGCUGAAACAGAAACUGAUAAUAUCGCCACCCCCCCCCCCACCCCUUCUCCCCGGCCAGGGAACUAGGUGAGGAGUGGAAAGGAGACGGGGCUUAAGGAAGAUUUUCCUCUGCAUAGACUGCCUGUCUACGUUUUGAACACUGAACCUCAUAAAU